rnacentral:lncRNA from 1 species
ACCUAUUCAAAUACCUAUAACCUCAGUUGGAGGGAUCAUCCAAACCUUAAAUGGGGAGGCAACCAAGGAGGUGGAAAUGAAACACAAAAUCAACCAAACCUUCCUUACCAACCUCCCCCAUUGCAACAAAGAUUUGUGGGAAAUGACCAUUAUACAUGUGGUCAACAAUUUGAUCGAUUAGAAUGGGACAUGCAAAUGAUUAAAAUGAACAUUUGACAAGUCCAAGCCACGUAUGGAUGACUUGAAUCUCGAAUGGACAGCCUUUUAGACUGAGACAUCUAUUGACAAUAUUCCAAAAGCAAAACGGCUAAAGUAUCCCCAGUAAUACAAAGAACAAUCCAUGGAGAGAUGGGACGGAGUAUGUGAAGGCAAUUGUUUUGCGAUUAGGCAAAGAAUUAAAAACACCUAGCAUGCCCAUCCAUGAAGAGGAGGAGGUUCCCGAAUCUGGCAAUCGCAAAUCUGAGCACAACAGAAGUAUCAUUCCUGACAAGACUAGAGAACAAGAAAAAGAGGGAUGAGGUAGAUUUCAUAAUUAUUCUCAAUUUAUUUAAAUCUCUCAGUUUCAAUUUAUCGCUUUUGAAACUCAUCGAUAAAAUCCCAAAAUAUGUCAAACACCUAAAGAAAAUCAUGGCAUGACAUAAGAAAAUGAAAAAGGGCAAGCAAAUGACAUUGGCACUUCAUGUAACGCGUUAUUUAUGAUGAAAAUACCUCUAAAAUUGAAAGAUCCAGGUAGUUUUAUGAUUCCUAUAAAGAUAAGGGAUUGACAUUUCAGUAAGGCUUUUUGCGAUUUAGGGGUUAACAUAAACUUAAUGUCCCUAUCAAUUUUUCGGACACUUGGACUAGGGGACCUUAAAAACACCUCGUUAAUGCUACAACUAGAUGAUAGAUCCUUGGUACACCCAAAAAGUGUCCCUGAUGAUGUAUUAGUUAAAGUACGGGGGUUUAUAAUUCUUGUCGAUUUUGUAGUCCUCGAUCUUGAGGAAGAUCAAGACAUCCCUAUUUUGUUGGGUAGGCUUUUUUUGGCCAUUUCUAAAGCAACCAUUGAUUUUUAAUGAAAUGAUCUAAUAAUUAAAAUCAAUGGAAAAAUAAAAGUAUUCAAAUGUGGUAGUGAUUCCCAAAUGAGGGAUUGCUUAGGGAGGAAUGUUACAUGUUAUUUGUUUUAACCUUUAACGACCUUAGUCAAAGGUAUUUUCCAAGUUGUGCAAGUAUAUGUAUUUGGAAUACAAGAGAAAGGGAUAAACGGUAAGAUCCCGAUAGGAUUGGAAAUUGGUCGAGUGGGAUAUGAUGGUCAUGAACAACGAAUGAAGUCAAUGGUGAAAUUUAAGGAAGUACCGAACAAGUUCGGUAGUACGACUUAAUUUUUUAAACCAUUGAACUUUAAUUAAUUUGUAUAUAUUGUACAUUAAUUUUAAAUUUUCAUUUUUAUUUAUAUUUAAAAUAAGUAUUUUGAAAAUUACAUGUGAGAAUUUGAAGAAAACAAGUUUCCAGGAGCAAUGGAGGAGCUAGAUGCUAGUUGAGGCAAGUAUGGACAAUUAGAUGCUUUUGACAAGUCCCAAAGAGGCCAAAUCAAAGGCAUGUCAUCACAUAACAAUCUCAUGGUUUGACAUAACCCCUUUGAACCUAAAAAUACAUGUUUUUAUGUCGUGUCGUGCCAUGACUUAUCUAUGGUGUGACACACCCUUUAUGGAAGAAAUAACAAGGGACAAAAUAGUGUCGUGUCGCGCCAUACCUACCUUAUGGUGUGACAUAUAGACCAUUUUAAAAAAAAUUUCAUUUCUGGUUCGGUUUGAUCUUCAAAGAUAUUCCCUAAGUUUGCACAAUAAAUCAAGCCCUAGAUGGCCUCUAUAUAUUGCCCUUACCAAUAGCUACACCCUCCAAGCCGUCAAAAUCUGCAAAACCACUAUUCGCUACCCUUUUAUUCGAUAUUUUAUGAAUUAUCUACCUUUCCCCUGCUCCAUAACCUCAAAGCCAUACAUAGCAACCUUUCUGACAGUGAAUCCACAGCGGAUAAUCAUGCUCACAUCUGAGAAAGGGAGCUAGAAAGUAACCUUUAAGCAUUCCAAUAAAAAAUCCCUUUGCAAGAAUGAGGUUUCAAAUCCAUAAGCUUAAUUGAAUUGUGAAAUGAGGGAAUGAUUCAAUUUUAUUGAUGGGAGAAGUUUUGUACAAUCCCAACUAAUCUGGUGUACAUUCUAAUUGUGCAUGAAUUUUAUGUCGAGUUAAAAGAGGUCGAUGCAAAUAGACUAAUGGAUGUACCAUAAAUGCAAAUACUAGUUUGAGGGAAGGAAAUUUUUAUCUUGCCUCCCGAGAUAGCGAGGUAUUAUUAUGUUCCAUUAUACCUUUGUGAUUUUGUACAAUGAAUUGAUCUGAUGUAUUUCCUAAAAGAAAAUAUGGACAAUGUAAUUCAUCUCCUAACAGAUGAAAAGGGCGAGUGGAAACGCCACUUAGGAACGGACUAUCCCAUAUCGUUUCCUCAGGAAAUUUUAACUUUGAAGGCCAGAAUAUUGUUGAAAUUUAUCAACACUUAAAUUUGCGCUGCAUCAGACAUGUCCAAUAUAGAUAUGUUCCAGGAAACAUUGUUGUAUGCGAUUUUAAAUAAGGAAAGAAUUUGUGUAGGGACAUGGAUAUAUCGAAGUAUGGUUUAAUGCAGAAGGAAGAAUGAAAUGGAAUUAUUUUUCCCACACUUAGUGAUAGCCUUAUACCGAUAAGCAAAGGUAUUGAUUGGAUGAUCAGGUAGUGUCUUACAACCAAUAAAGUUUUUGAUAUUAGAACCAAGCAUGGAGUAUCUUAUGGGGCACAAGAAACAGAAAAACUAUAAAGAAAACCACAUCUAGGCGAGAACGCUUAUCCAAUUCAAAAUGGAUAGUUUGGUGAAUGUAAGAAGCUAAACCAAUUUACGAGGACUAUACGAGGAAAAAUGGGUUGAAACUACCAUAAUUUCUAGUAGCUAAGUACGAGGAAGAGAAAGAAUCAAAAGAUGAGGAAGAUCAUAAAGAAGAUCCGGUGGAGGAUUGAAGAGCGAAUCGGAGAAAGCUGAUGAAGCAUCAGAUCUUGAUUUUGAUUAAUUCUAAACCAUUUCUUUUAAUUUUCAAUUUUCAAUUUUUUAAAUUUACACUUUGUAUUUUAAUUUUAUUUGGGAUGGUUUUAUUUUUGCUUUAAUUUUUAUUUAGCUAGGAUUUUAAUAUUAUAUAUAUAAUUGUGUUUAGUUUUCUUUGUAGGAACCCCAUAUUUUUAAAACACUAUAAUUUUGAGCAAAAAUCAAAGGGAGGAGUAUUCCCACAAAUUGUGUUGCACAUAUUACGUC